GUCGAGCGAGGUGUAUAUACCUAGCGGCGGACGGGUGAGUAACACGUGGGUGACCUGCCUCAAAGUGGGGAAUAGCCUCUCGAAAGGGAGAUUAAUACCGCAUGAUAUACGCAUAUUUAACGACGCGUAUCAAAGGAGAAAUCCGCUUUGAGAUGGGCCCGCGGCGCAUUAGCUAGUUGGAGAGGUAACGGCUCACCAAGGCGACGAUGCGUAGCCGACCUGAGAGGGUGAUCGGCCACAUUGGAACUGAGACACGGUCCAGACUCCUACGGGAGGCAGCAGUGGGGAAUAUUGCACAAUGGGGGAAACCCUGAUGCAGCAACGCCGCGUGAACGAAGAAGGCCUUCGGGUCGUAAAGUUCUUUGAUUGGGGACGAUAAUGACGGUACCCAAAAAACAAGCCACGGCUAACUACGUGCCAGCAGCCGCGGUAAUACGUAGGUGGCGAGCGUUGUCCGGAUUUACUGGGCGUAAAGGAUGCGUAGGUGGAAAUUUAAGUGGGAUGUGAAAUCCCCGGGCUCAACCCGGGAACUGCAUUCCAAACUGGAUUUCUAGAGUGCAGGAGAGGAAAGCGGAAUUCCUAGUGUAGCGGUGAAAUGCGUAGAUAUUAGGAAGAACACCAGUGGCGAAGGCGGCUUUCUGGACUGUAACUGACACUGAGGCAUGAAAGCGUGGGGAGCAAACAGGAUUAGAUACCCUGGUAGUCCACGCCGUAAACGAUGGGUACUAGGUGUAGGGGGUAUCAACUCCCCCUGUGCCGUCGUUAACACAGUAAGUACCCCGCCUGGGGAGUACGGUCGCAAGAUUAAAACUCAAAGGAAUUGACGGGGGCCCGCACAAGCAGCGGAGCAUGUGGUUUAAUUCGAGGCAACGCGAAGA
rnacentral:rRNA from 1 species